rnacentral:rRNA from 1 species
CCUACGGGUGGCAGCAGUGAGGAAUAUUGGUCAAUGGACGAGAGUCUGAACCAGCCAAGUAGCGUGAAGGAUGACUGCCCUAUGGGUUGUAAACUUCUUUUAUAUGGGAAUAAAAUGUUCCACGUGUGGGCUUUUGUAUGUACCCUAUGAAUAAGGAUCGGCUAACUCCGUGCCAGCAGCCGCGGUAAUACGGAGGGUCCGAGCGUUAUCCGGAUUUAUUGGGUUUAAAGGGAGCUUAGGUGGAUUGUUAAGUCAGUUGUGAAAGUUUGCGGCUCAACCGUAAAAUUGCAGUUGAAACUGGCAGUCUUGAGUACAGUAGAGGUGGGCGGAAUUCGUGGUGUAGCGGUGAAAUGCUUAGAUAUCACGAAGAACUCCGAUUGCGAAGGCAGCUCACUGGACUGCAACUGACACUGAGGCUCGAAAGUGUGGGUAUCAAACAGGAUUAGAUACCCGAGUAGUC